UACGGGGGGGGCAAGCGUUGUUCGGAAUUACUGGGCGUAAAGAGCUUGUAGGCGGUUUGUCGCGUCUGCCGUGAAAAUCCGGGGCUCAACCCCGGACUUGCGGUGGGUACGGGCAGACUAGAGUGCGGUAGGGGAGACUGGAAUUCCUGGUGUAGCGGUGAAAUGCGCAGAUAUCAGGAGGAACACCGGUGGCGAAGGCGGGUCUCUGGGCCGUAACUGACGCUGAGGAGCGAAAGCGUGGGGAGCGAACAGG
rnacentral:rRNA from 1 species